UUAAAAGAAUUACAAUUAAAGAUAAACUUUUAUAAAAAUUUAUCCUGCAGUUUAAUAAAUUAUGUGUAAUAAAUUAUGUUAAAAUACAUAUUUGUUAAAUACUUUUAUUUUUUUGUCUAUAAAGUUCCAGUACAAAGUCAUCAAGUUACUGUGUUAAAUCAAAACAUGUUUACAAUGUCCCAAAAGUACAUUAUCACAAGUAAGGGAAUUCCAACCCAUUAGAAGAUUUGAAUGAUUUUGAACUAAAAACGCAUAAUAGUUUUGCACAAGAAUUUGUUAAACAACUCUUUUAUUAUCUAUUUAGGUAACUUUCCACAUAUUGGUAGAAAGUUACCUAAAUAUAUGGUUAAAGACCUAAUUCAAAGGUUGAUGUCAAAUGAGCUUCAGAUAAAAUUCAGUAUGGUUGGUCUAAAAGGAAAACUUAAGUUUAAAAAAACUUUGUUGGAUAAUGUAAUAAAUAGAUUUUACUCAAAGAUUUGCUGUCAAUAAUUUUACAAAAAAAGGAAAACUCAGAUAAUAUCUGGCAGAUAUAGUCAAACGAAUGAACGUGAAAACGACGGGAAAAAUCCUCGAAACAACCAUGGCGUUUCAUCACGUUUCCUUAUUCAAGCAUCCUAACGUGUUUUUUUACCGAAGUCUUUUUGAGUAUAUUUAUAUAUUAUUGUUUUAUUUAAGUAUUCGAUUAAAUUAUACAGGUUUUUAUUGUGCUUUUUUAGUUCAUU